GAAGGGGUGCCAGAUUAUGCUAUGGGACAGGUUUAGGACUUGUAUAAGGGUUGUAACCCCUCCUUUA
rnacentral:tRNA from 1 species